AGCAGUAUGGUGUAUCGUGCACGCGGGGUUCCCUUAUGGGACAUUUUUCUGUGAUCCCCGAGGUCCUCGUUCGAUUCGAGGUGCUGCUC